UACGUAGGGUGCGAGCGUUAAUCGGAAUUACUGGGCGUAAAGCGUGCGCAGGCGGUUCGUUGUGUCUGAUGUGAAAGCCCCGGGCUUAACCUGGGAAUGGCAUUGGAAACUGGCGAGCUGGAGUGUGGCAGAGGGGGGUGGAAUUCCACGUGUAGCAGUGAAAUGCGUAGAUAUGUGGAGGAACACCGAUGGCGAAGGCAGCCCCCUGGGACGGUACUGACGCUCAAGCACGAAAGCGUGGGGAGCAAACAGG
rnacentral:rRNA from 1 species